ACGGGUGAGUAACACGUAGGUAACCUGCCUUUAAGACUGGGAUAACUAUCGGAAACGAUAGCUAAGACCGGAUAACUGGUUUUCUCGCAUGAGAGAAUCAUGAAACACGGAGCAAUCUGUGGCUUGAAGAUGGGCCUGCGGCGCAUUAGCUAGUUGGUGAGGUAACGGCUCACCAAGGCGACGAUGCGUAGCCGACCUGAGAGGGUGAACGGCCACACUGGGACUGAGACACGGCCCAGACUCCUACGGGAGGCAGCAGUAGGGAAUCUUCCGCAAUGGACGCAAGUCUGACGGAGCAACGCCGCGUGAGUGAUGAAGGUUUUCGGAUCGUAAAGCUCUGUUGCCCUAGACGAACAGCAAGGAGAGUAACUGCUCUUUGUGUGACGGUAUAGGAGAAGAAAGCCCCGGCUAACUACGUGCCAGCAGCCGCGGUAAUACGUAGGGGGCAAGCGUUGUCCGGAAUUAUUGGGCGUAAAGCGCGCGCAGGCGGUCAUUUAAGUCUGGUGUUUAAUCCUGGGGCUCAACCCCAGUUCGCAUCGGAAACUGGAUGACUUGAGUGUAGGAGAGGAAAGUGGAAUUCCACGUGUA
rnacentral:rRNA from 1 species